rnacentral:rRNA from 1 species
CAGUAGCCGCGGUAAUACGUAGGGCGCAAGCGUUAUCCGGAAUUAUUGGGCGUAAAGACCUCGUAGGCGGUUUGUCGCGUCUGCCGUGAAAGUCCGGGGCUCAACCCCGGAUCUGCGGUGGGUACGGGCAGACUAGAGUGAUGUAGGGGAGACUGGAAUUCCUGGUGUAGCGGUGAAAUGCGCAGAUAUCAGGAGGAACACCGAUGGCGAAGGCAGGUCUCUGGGCAUUAACUGACGCUGAGGAGCGAAAGCAUGGGGAGCGAACAGGAUUAGAUACCCCUGUAGUCCCUGUCUCUUAUAC